GGCCUCGUGGCCUAAUGGCUAGGGCGCUAGAUUUCGGUGCAUACCAAAGCUGAUCCUCUAGAGAUUGUCGGUUCGAGUCCGGCCGAGGUCG
rnacentral:tRNA from 2 species